rnacentral:lncRNA from 1 species
UUUGUGAGAUGGUCAUGGCAUUAAAAUUUGCUGUAAAGGGUUGACAAGUUUUCGUUGAGGCUAAUAUGGCCCCACAGGGAUUGUCAUGGGUACAGAGGCCCAAGUACUGAAUACAGAAGCAGAACUCCCAGCCCGGACGGAAGCAGGAGAAAGGGGGAGAAUGUGGCUAGUAAAAUGCUUGUAUUAAAGCUCAUGGGUAGAACUCCUUGACUCUGGCCCUAUCCAGGCUACUACUGUGACUCUUUUUCCCUUCCUGGUCAGUGUGACAGGUGUUAACAGGAAGACGUGCAAAGUGGGGACUGCUAGUAAGUUCAGGUGAGGGCUUUAGCGUUUUUAAACAUUUUAGGUUAUUUAAUGUUUAAAUUACAUUUUUAAAUGUUUUUAAAAUGUAAUGUUUUAAACCCACUGCAAGUCUUCUCUGUUGCUUGGAGUUCCUUUUCUGUCCUGGUCUUGGUGGGGAAAGCUUCAAGGGAACCUCAAAGGGGAACAGGAAGCUGAAGAGCAGAAAACAAACAAACGCUUGGCGCUUGGCGCACCAGGCAGGUGGCUGUUGUGUCACACCGCCUUGUCCCUGGCACCCUGAUGAUGAACUGAAGCCUUUCCACAGAAUGUUCUGGACAACCCCACCCCCACAGUCACCAGGUCCUGUGCUGCAAACCCUUUGCCAUCUAUCUUUUAUCACCCCUCCAGAAAAUUAUUUAUUAACUGCUUGGCUGUACUUUCUGAAUUAAAUAAAAAC